CGAACGCUGGCGGCGUGCUUAACACAUGCAAGUCGAACGAGAAAGCACCUUCGGGUGUGAGUACAGUGGCGAACGGGUGAGUAACACGUGGGCAACCUGCCCUGGAGACUGGGAUAACGUUCCGAAAGGGACGCUAAUACCGGAUGACGCGCGAUCUGCCAAGUAGGUCGCGCCAAAUGGUAGCUUCGGCUUCUACUCUGGGAUGGGCCCGCGCCGGAUUAGCUUGUUGGUGAGGUAACGGCUCACCAGGGCGACGAUCCGUAGCUGGUCUGAGAGGACGAUCAGCCACACUGGGACUGAGACACGGCCCAGACUCCUACGGGAGGCAGCAGUGGGGAAUCUUGCGCAAUGGGCGAAAGCCUGACGCAGCAACGCCGCGUGAGCGAAGACGG
rnacentral:rRNA from 1 species